AGCGAACGCUGGCGGCAGGCCUAACACAUGCAAGUCGAACGAUCCUUCGGGAUAGUGGCGGACGGGUGAGUAACACGUGGGAACGUGCCUUUUGGUUCGGAACAACUCAGGGAAACUUGAGCUAAUACCGAAUGUGCCCUUCGGGGAAGGAUUAUCGCCAUUAGAGCGGCCCGCGUCUGAUUAGCUAGUUGGUGAGGUAAAGGCUCACCAAGGCUACGAUCAGUAGCUGGUCNGAGAGGAUGAUCAGCCACAUUGGGACUGAGACACGGCCCAAACUCCUACGGGAGGGCAGCAGUGGGGAAUCUUGCGCAAUGGGCGAAAGCCUGACGCAGCCAUGCCGCGUGAAUGAUGAAGGUCUU
rnacentral:rRNA from 1 species